AUUUUGGCAAUUUUAAGAAGGCAGAACCCUGAUAGGAUAAGGGUUCUGUGAAAUUUGUCGUGUACAGAGCUUUAAGUUAUGAAAUGCAGUUUGGUGAAUGGCUACGUGAAGAACUUAAAGAAGGUGGAACAUUAAGUUCGCAGAAAGACCCAGAUAUUAGUAUAUUGCUUAGAAAAGCGAGAUCUCAUCAUACAGUUUUAUUUGGUCCAGCUUUAGACCAAUGGGCACCUGAAAUUUCUGAUCAAGAACUAUGGCAAGCAAUGUCUGAUACUUAUCCCGAAAUUGUAGCUCAUUGGGAUGAGGA
rnacentral:rRNA from 1 species